rnacentral:lncRNA from 1 species
GAUGUUAUUAAAAUCUUUUCAUCAAUUCUGUCAUGCAUUAUUGAUUAUUAGGAUUAAUAUUCGAUUAAUUCUAUGCUUGGAUCUAUAAAGUUUAUACAUGAUUAUCUUUGAUUUUAUGUCUUUCAUUAAAUUGUUUACAUAGAGUGCUUAGGAAAACUUUGACUCUUUGUUAUUCAAUAUGUUUACAUGGGAUGCUUAGAUGUCAUAUUAUUAAGCAGAAAAAGAACCUACAUUAGAUUUAAUUACUUGGGCUUAAUUGUUAUA